AUUCCUGAGAGGGAGCUGUGAAGGAGAAAAGGAACACACAUCCUGGGAAGCUGCCUAACCGACCGGGAGAUCAGCCUAAAUGGAGGGACCUCAAAGUCGCCAAGAAAAGUGCAGCAGCUGGACUGAGGACAAAGUAGAGUGAGAGCUGCACAGAUCAUCUGCACCACUGCCCUGGACACCACAGCCUGAGAUGCUUGGGUGCUGAGAUUUAGGCUCUGAAGUGACAAAAAUCUAAGCCAAACUGGGAAAUGAAAGAAGUGUGACUCCUUCAAUGUAAAAACCUAUCAGAAGAAAAGGCAAAUGUGGUACUGCCCUGGGGAUAUUUGAAUUCAUAGUCUCAAAUGAAUGCAGAAUUUCUUCUGUCUGCCUUUUUUUAAGAUCUGAAGCUUUCUUGUAUAUGCAAAUCAACUUUAUUCACAAGGAAAUCUUCAAGGAAUCAUCUAUAAUGUGAGGAAAGACCAUGAGACUCGACCUGAGACGUAUCCUAAGCAUGAGGCUCACUAGAUCUGUUAACACUGGACGAAUCAUUUAAUUUCUCUCUAGAUCUGUUAACACUGGAUGAAUCAUUUAAUUUCUCUAAGUCUUAAUGUUCUUUUCCUUAAAAUGAGAAUAACUUAAUUCAGUAAAGGGGAUAUCAUGAGUUUAAGAAAGGCAAUAUAUAUAAAAGUGCUACAUAGUCUUUACAACACUGUAUAAAAGCAGUACAUUUUUGAAAUCAACAGUAGUAUUAAACACGUAUAGUUUAGUUGGCCCAUUAAAGACAAUAUUAAAAUCACUGCCCACAUACCUAAAUUUUGCCACACUGAUUUUUUAAGUUUUAAACUGAGAUAAAAUUUACACAUUUUAAAACUAACCCUUUUUUUAAAUAGUACAAUUUUGUUGUUUUGUUUUUAAUAUAUUCAUAGAUGAUGCAACCAUCACCACUAUCUAGGUUUAGAACAUUUUCAUCUUUCCCCAAAGAAAUCCCAUUCUCAUUAAUAGUCAUUUCCUAUUCCCUACUGGCAACAACUAAUCUACUUUCUGUCUGUAUGGAUUUGCCUAUUCUGGACAUUUCAUAUAAAUGGAAUCAUACAAUAUGUGCUCUUUUGAGACUAGCUUCUUUCACUUAGCAUUAUUGUUAAGAAUCUGUCAAAUUCACAAUUGUUAAGUGGAGCACAGGGUGCCUGAUGAUGAAGGGACAGACUAUAAGAGAAACUGAAAUAGAAAAGUUUGUUACUCACAGGUCCUGGAGGAAGUACCAGGCAUUUCUCAUGGGUCCAGGUAGGAAGGUCAAGCAGGGUGCAGACAGAGAGAAAAACAGGACCUGGGGUACAUGUGCAUGCUUUUAUUAGGGUCCCAUGGUAGAGUGUUUUGGAGUUCUCGGCUAAGGUCAGAUUGGUCAAUUCAAACCAAAAGACCCCACGAAGGCCUUAAUUAAGAGGCAAAAAAGGUGGAGGUCCUGGAGACAGGGGAGACUUGAUCCCUAGGAACGUUGGGGGGGUCAUAUCAAGAACUAACACUUGCCUGUGACUGCGGGACGCUCUCUGGGGCAUGUACUCAGCAUGUACUUGUGUGAGGGACAAGAGUCCGUUUAUGUCCUGCAGGCUAUGUAAAAUGGAUGUCAAGGCACCAAUAUGGCGGAGUAGUUUAGCUCAACUCUGCACAAUUAUGUUGUCAAGGUUCAUCUAUGUUCAAGAAUAUUUGAAUAACUAAUGGAGGAAACUACCGCAAGUUAGAGUAGAUAGGUAUGUAAAUUAGAGAUAUAAAAUUUCUCUUUAAGCUAUAGAGCUUGUUCUGUGUCUUUAAAAUCAUUCCACUUCUCAGAUUUCUUCCAUAACACCUUAGCUUCUUAAAGUGAUAUUUGGAUGGAAUUGGGAAUGGGCCAACUGCUAAUUACAGUCUAAUCACCAGCAGGGUAGAGUGCAGCUAACACAUUCUGACAUCUCUCAGGCUGGACUUAGGAAAAAAAGUUCAAUUUCUAUUCCUCUUUCCAAGAUAUAUCAUGUUUAAUUAUGUGCAUUUGAAGUUAUUUAUUAUAAGUUUAGGAGUCAUGAGGAGGAACCAAAUAUCUUCCAUCUUAUAAACCAAGGAAAUAAAGUAAUAAAUAGUUUUCCAAAUAGGAGGUUGAGAGUGUAUGAAGAGCCUGAAUAUUUAAAAUUCUCUUUUUCUAAAGCUUAAAAGUAAAAUAAAAACCAUCAUUUUUUUCCUGAUAUCUUACUAACACUCUCUAUUAACUUAUAAAGCAGAUGAAUUUUCAUUUGCUAAUUCAAUUUGAUUUACUACCAAAACCUCAGAAAUAAACCUGUGGGGUUUAGGCUAAAAAAUAUGUAGGCUAUUUUUUUGGCCACAUUGGCAGCAUGCAGAAUUUACCAGGCCAGGGAUUGAACCCUUGGUGACUAGAGCCACCACAGUGACAGUGCCAGAUCUUUAACCCACUGAGCCACCAGGGAACACCUUGCCUGUUUGAUUUGGAAUUCAGAAUCUUUGUAAUAUUGAAUUGAUUUUUUUUUAAUUCUUUAUUUCUCUCCUUUUUUCCUGUGACUCUCAUUUUUAACUUUUGCCAUCCUCUUAUACAACUCCCUGCUUUUGUUAAUUUAGCAUAUAAUAUACAAUAUAAUUUAAUGUACAAUAUAUAUCUUAAGGACUUUAAAAUGUGAAAUAACUAUUUAGUAGGAUUUAAUAUUAUAUGACCAUAUGUGAAGAAAAGUUUAUUUUAAUAAACUUUCACAGAUGCAGUUUGGAAGUUUUUGAUAGAUACAAAAAUGGAGGGUUGUGUACACUUUGCCUUAAUGACAUUUUUGUGUAUUUGGAUGGAUACCCCCAGAAUCUAUGAGAUCAGUUUCAAAUAAAAUAAAAUGCACAUACUGGG
rnacentral:lncRNA from 1 species